rnacentral:rRNA from 1 species
UACGUAGGGGGCGAGCGUUGUCCGGAAUCAUUGGGCGUAAAGCGCGCGUAGGCGGCCCUGUAAGUCCGUUGUGAAAGUCAAAGGCUCAACCUUUGAAAGCCGAUGGAUACUGCAGGGCUAGAGUCCGGAAGAGGCGAGUGGAAUUCCUGGUGUAGCGGUGGAAUGCGCAGAUAUCAGGAGGAACACCGAUUGCGAAGGCAGCUCGCUGGGACGUUACUGACGCUGAGGUGCGAAAGCGUGGGGAGCAAACAGG